rnacentral:rRNA from 1 species
GACGAACGCUGGCGGCGUGCCUAAUACAUGCAAGUCGAACGAGCGGCGGACGGGUGAGUAAUGUCUGGGAAACUGCCUGAUGGAGGGGGAUAACUACUGGAAACGGUAGCUAAUACCGCAUACCAUCAGAUGUGCCCAGAUGGGAUUAGCUAGUAGGUGGGGUAAUGGCUCACCUAGGCGACGAUCCCUAGCUGGUCUGAGAGGAGGACCAGCCAAACUGGAACGGAGACACGGUCCAGACUCCUACGGGAGGCAGCAGGGGGGAAUAUUGGACAAUGGGCGCAAGCCUGAGGCAGCCAUGCCGCGUAUGUGAAGAAGGCCUUCGGGUUGUAAAGCACUUUCAGCGAGGAGGCGUUACUCGCAGAAGAAGCACCGGCUAACUCCGUGCCAGCAGCCGCGGUAAUAC